rnacentral:rRNA from 1 species
UGACGGAGGGAGCUAGCGUUAUUCGGAAGUUACUGGGACGUAAAGCGCACGUAGGCGGCUUUGUAAGUUAGAGGUGAAAGCCUGGAGCUCAACUCCAGAAUUGCCUUUAAGACUGCAUCGCUUGAAUCCAGGAGAGGUGAGUGGAAUUCCGAGUGUAGAGGUGAAAUUCGUAGAUAUUCGGAAAGAACACCAGUGGCGAAGGCGGCUCACAUGGACUGGUAUUGACGCUGAGGUGCGAAAGCGUGGGGAGCAAACAGG